UUGAACUAUAAAGUGGAAGGGAUUUAAAAUUCUAAUUUAUUUGAAAUCGCAUUUUUUUCAAAAGAAGUUUGGAAUUCAAUAAUGUCGCCCUUGUAGAAGAAAGGAGCUUAAUGAAACAACAUCUGGAAAAAAAGUGGUUAAUUCUUGUAUAGCAAACUGAAGAAGAUGAAUCGAAGCGACGAGUUUUGGUUUUUGGUGAAAGAGUAAAAAUGAAUCGCCUCCGUCUCUGCAUGUCGUCAAAAAAAAUUGUUUUUACUUGUGAAUUGGACAGGUAGGGAAUUUGUAAUUCUCCGGUAAAGCACACAGCUCGUCAGUAACAAGCGGGAAAGUCACCAUCAUGGUUUGUGGCAUUUUGCUUCUUCUCAUUUUUCAAAUUACGGCACAGCGUUGCGUCCUGGGUAUAACAACUUCGCCUAAAGGAAGACAACUUCCAGGAACUAACCAGAUUGCCUUGAAUAAAUCUGCCCUAACAACGUGGAGAAACUCUAGUACUUCUAAACGCGUCCAAAAUGAUGGUAAAAUUGGAAUACUAAUCGAGAAAGAAAUGUAUCCUUAUUUUGAGAAAGCAAUGCUGUUCCAGAAUUCUAUUUUACAAAGCGUUAAAAUGCUACCAAAAGUCGUGGAGAACAAUCCAUACGCCGUUCUACAGGCGAUAUGUAAUUUUACUGGUAAAGAUGUGAGUGGAUUAGCAUUUAUCUGUGAGGAGCCUUGCUCAGAAAUGACUUCAUUUGCCAGUUUACUUGGUUGGUCAGGUGUUAUGGUCAAGGGGCGAAGCACCGAACGUUCUCUGAUAUUCCCAAAAGAACCCACCUCAUUUUUAGAUAUUUCACCUGCUAAAUACUUACAGAACGACGCUGUGAUCGAACUUUUCGUUCAAUUCCAAUGGAAGUUAAUCUGCCUUAUUCAUGAUACAAAACCUUCGACUGCUUCUCUCGUCGCGGACCUAAAAGAACGGAUGAAAAAGAGAGAUUUGUCUCUUAAUCACGUGAUCGAACUGGAUGGGACAAAUGUUACCAUUGCUGAUGGUCUGAAGAGGGUGUAUGGGAAGUCCAUGGUUUUUGUUCUUUAUUGCAGUAGUAUGAGUGCCGAAAGUGUUUUAGAAAUUGCUAGCCGACAGCGGCUUACGAGCAAAAAGCAUGCGUGGAUUGUGGGAGAGAUGAUCUUGGAAAAUCGCGGGGAAAAUGUACCAGAAUCUUUUCCCAUUGGUUUGAUUGGGGUCGAGUACGUAAUGAAAGACAAGACCGCUGACCACAUAGCCGACGCAAUUAACGUGAUUGCUUCUGGGAUCAAUCACAUGACAGAUAGUGAAGCCAAUAUGAAUAAAUUAAAAGGAAAUUGUGACAACACAACAGUUUCUUCAGUUUCACCUUUAUACCGGAAAAUGAUUAACGUUACAUUGAAAGGAAAAACAGGGAUAGUAUCUUUCGACGAAGAGGGCCAUCGAACAGGCGCCAAGUACGCCUUCCUAAAUCUCCGCAAAGAAAGAAACACCCAGAAGUUAUUCUGGCAAAACGUUGGCUUCCUGGAAAAUGAUCACGUGACUUUAGAACAAAUAGUUUGGCCUGGUGAUGUUGUACAUACUCCCAGCGGUCUUCCCCGUGCGAGCCUGCGCGUAGUGAUGUACGAGGUGGCGCCAUUAAUAUACGUUAAAGAGAGUGACUCGACGGAAGAAUGUCAACAGGGCAUCACAUGUACACUUGUAACCAAAGAAAAUAAAGAGGUGCCAAGGUGCUGUUACGGGCUGUGUAUCGAUCUGAUCAACAUGUUGAGUCAAGACCUUGAUUUUGAUCCUAUCAUUCGUAUUAUUGAAGGAGGUCGAGCGGGUUCCUUUAAACAUGGAAAAUGGACAGGUUUAGUAGGUUCAGUGCUCUACGGAGAAGCAGACAUGGGAAUGUCGUCCAUCAGCAUCACCGAAGAAAGAAGCAAAGUUAUCGACUUUACAGAACCCUUCCUACAUACGGGAUCUACCAUACUGGUUGCUAAGCGACCGGGAAGUUUCAAAGGAGACGGAUUCCUUAGACCUUUUGAGCUUGAAUCCUGGUUAUUUAUAUUUGGAGUUCUUUACCUUGUGGCGUUCGUAAUCUUCAUUUUUGAGUCCAAAAAUCCUGGUCUUCAGCGUUCAAAACACAAACACCUCGCUGGUCAGUUCGACAUUCAUGUGUCUAUCUGGCUCAUCUAUUCCAGAUUGUUCAGCGGUAAUCUUGAUGCGCAUGUGCCGAGGUUUGUUAGUAGUAGGGUGGUUCUAAGCUCCUGGGCAUUUUCGUCCCUGCUGUUGAUCGCCCUUUAUACCGCAAAUCUUGCAGCAUUUAUGGUGCAGAAGGAACAAGCACACUACAUAGACAGCAUCAAUGACUCAAUCAUUCAAAACCCAUCAAAAAGCCUUCUCAGGUUCACAACCAUCCGCGAUACAAGCGUAGAGAACUACUUCAAAGUGAACUAUCCACGGAUCUUCAAAUACAUGAGACAGUACCAAUUCAACCAUUCGUCCGAUGGUGUGCAAGCUGUAAAAGACGGUAAAAUUGAUGCAUUUAUUUGGGAAGCGGUCACCCUGGAUCGAUACGUUGCAAAUGACAGCAGAUGUAACCUACUGACGGUUGGGAAACAGUUCGACAAGAACGGCUUCGCUGCAGUCUUUAGUAAAGGAUCUGAAUGGACGAAGAAGGUGUCCGAGAAGAUUAUGGAGUACCAGACAUCGGAAGAAUACAGACAAAUGGCUGAAAAAUGGCAGGAAGGAUCCUGUAAACAAACGCCAAAAGCGGGCCGCUUCAAGGCAGCCUUUUCUAUAGAUCGACUGGAUUAUGUGAAUCUGUCAGGAGUGUUUUACCUGUUGGCUGUUGGUAUUGGCUUGUCUUUCUUGGUGCUCAUCGGAGAAAACUUUUACUGGAUGUUCCAGAAGAAGACAGAGAACAGAAGAAUGAAUACACGGUCACCUAUGGUAAGAAUGGGGCUGAAAGGCUCGAACUACAAAAGAAAGUGGGCGAAGUGAGAGAGUUUUUAGAUGAUAACUACUACAGAGAUCAACAAGUAGUAUUUUUGUCAAAGGUGGAGAAAGAAUUACAAGAGACUCUUCAAGAGCUUCGGGACGUUCAAGCAAUGUUAGACACAC
rnacentral:misc_RNA from 1 species